rnacentral:rRNA from 1 species
UUCAGACGAUGCGUCAUGCAUAUCAAUAAGCGGAGGAAAAGAAACUAACAAGGAUUCCCUUAGUAACGGCGAGUGAAGCGGGAAGAGCUCAAAUUUGAAAUCUUCAAGGUUUUACCUUGACGAAUUGUAGUUUAAAGAAGUGUUUUCUGCUGAAGUUUUGGUAAAAGUUCUUUGGAAUAGGACAUCAUAGAGGGUGAGAGUCCCGUAUUUGACCAUUAUUUUCAGCUUUGUGAUACACUUUCAAAGAGUCGGAUUGUUUGGGAAUGCAGUCCAAAAUGGGUGGUAAACUUCAUCUAAAGCUAAAUAUUGGCGAGAGACCGAUAGCGAACAAGUACCGUGAGGGAAAGAUGAAAAGAACUUUGAAAAGAGAGUUAAACAGUACGUGAAAUUGUCAAAAGGGAAGCGUUUGACACCAGUGUUGUUUUCUCGAAAAUCAAUUAAAAAUGGCUCAAUUUUGUAUUGCUUGAGACCUUAAAAGCUCACUGUACAUUUUUCGUGUCUUUUUUAAUGCACUUUUCGUUUAACAAGUCAACAUCAGUUUCUUUUGUUGUAAAAGGGUCAUUGGAAGGUGGCUUUCUUUUCGGAGAAAGUGUUUAUAGCCUUUGGCCUCUGCAAUCGAGAGACUGAGGUCUGCAGCGUAGACUCUUCGGGGUUAGAUACAUUUGUGCUAAGUUAUAGCUUUUUAUAGACAACUUGUUGACUAUAAUUAGUCCUGUAGCUUACUCGCUUAUGCUAUUUUACCUACGCUUAGGAUGUUGACGAUCAGCUGAGCGCG